AACGGGAAGGUAGGGAGGUGACGUCAAGUCAUCAUGGCCCUUAUGUCCUGGGCUACACACGUGCUACAAUGGCCGGUACAGAGCGCAGCUAGGCCGCGAGGCGGAGCGAAUCGCUUAAAGCCGGUCUCAGUACGGAUUGGAGUCUGAAACCCGACUCCAUGAAGUUGGAAUCGCUAGUAAUCGCGCAUCAGCAUGGCGCGGUGAAUACGUUCCCGGGCCUU
rnacentral:rRNA from 1 species